AUUGAACGCUGGCGGCAGGCCUAACACAUGCACGUCGUGCGAGUGGCGGACGGGUGAGUAAUGUCUGGGAAUCUGCCUGAUGGAGGGGGAUAACUACUGGAAACGGUAGCUAAUACCGCAUACCAUCAGAUGACCCCAUAUGGGAUUAGCUAGUAGGUGAGUUAAAGGCUCCCCUAGGCGACGAUCCCUAGCUGGUCUGAGAGGAUGAUCAGACACACUGGGACUGAGCCAGGGCCCAGACUCCUACGGGAGGCAGCAGUGGGGAAUAUUGCCCAAUGGGCGCAAGCCUGAUGCAGCCAUGCCGCGUGUAUGAAGAAGGCCUUCGGGUUGUAAAGUACUUUCAGUCGGGAGGCGUUACCGACAGAAGAAGCACCGGCUAACUCCGUGCCAGCAGCCGCGGUAAUAC
rnacentral:rRNA from 1 species